AGCAUGUAUUCAAUAAGCGAGUGUAUGAAUUAUAGAAAAAAGGAGAUGCAGGAGGAAUGCAACUCUUAUGCUAUGCCUUUGUCUAGUAGCUUUAGAUGGAAGCCCUAUUCUUACUUUGAUCCUUACCAAAUAAGGUGGCUGUGCUUUGUUUGAUUAUUUUGUUUACUUAAAAAAAUAAUUAAGAGAGAUCAUUUUUUUUUUCUAAAUGCGUUAGCAAAUUUAGUCAGAAUUAAUAUUUUUAUUCUAUAAAGGAAUUCUGCAUUUGUGGAGUAAAAAUUGACAUAAUUACUUGAACAGCCACUGGGAAAUCAGUACCUACG
rnacentral:misc_RNA from 1 species